rnacentral:rRNA from 1 species
GACGAACGCUGGCGGCGUGCUUAACACAUGCAAGUCGAACGGAAAAGCCCUUCCUUUGUGGGGUGCUCGACUAACGAACGUGUAAGUCACACGUGAGUAACCUGCCCCUGACUUUUGGCUAACUUCAGUAGACUGUAUCAACUACCGGAUCGGCGCUCCGGCUGCUUUGGGGGUGGAGGGAAUUUUCGGCGGGUGGGGAUGGACUCGCGGCUUAUCAGCUUGUUGGUGGGGUAGUGGCCUACCAAGGCGUCGACGGGUAGCCGGCCUGAGAGGGUGACCGGCCACACUGGGACUGAGAUACGGCCCAGACUCCUACGGGAGGCAGCAGUGGGGAAUAUUGCACAAUGGGCGGAAGCCUGACGCAGCGACGCCGCGUGGGGGAUGACGGCCUUCGGGUUGUAAACCUCUUUCAGCUGUGACGAAGCGUGAGUGACGGUAAUGGCAAAAGAAGCACCGGCUAACUACGUG